AACGUAGGACGCAAGCGUUAUCCGGAGUUACUGGGCGUAAAGCGCGGGCAGGCGGCUCGAUGCGUCUGAUGUGAAAUCUCCUCGCUCAACGGGGAGAGGCCAUUGGAAACGGUCGGGCUGGAGGGCAGUAGAGGUAGGCGGAAUUCCGGGUGGAGUGGUGAAAUGCGUAGAGAUCCGGAGGAACACCAGAGGCGAAGGCGGCCUACUGGGCUGCACCUGACACUGAGCCGCGAAAGCCAGGGGAGCGAACGGG
rnacentral:rRNA from 1 species